UAUGCUUAUUUUGUUCCUGGUUCCACCGCAACGUGCUCUUCUAACUAAGCGUAUUUUGUUCCUGGUUCCACCACAGGUCCCUGCCAUGCCAUCGGCAACCUGCUCGUCUUGUCCGUGAGGCCUUCCCAGCUGGCCCGGCUCACCCCGUGGCUCCUGCACCUGUGCCUGCCCCGGGAACCUUGGGCCGUUUCCCACUCCUCUUCAACCGUCAGCGACAUCUUGGGCCUUCUUUUCCAGUCAGGUGGGACGGCACCCCUAAUGAGGCUGUGUCUUAUCCCUCGGAACAUGGGCACCCCACAGAAGGCCCUGCCUCCUGUGGUCUGGAGCACCCCCUCGAGGAAGAAACCCGUGCUGUCUGCUCCCAACUCCAUGAUGUUUGGACACCUCAGCCCUGUGAGGAUCCCUCGUCUCAGACGCAAGUUUAACCUCCGACUUCCUUCAUUAGAUGAGCAGGUGAUCCCAGCCAGGUUCCUGAAGACAGAGGUGAGGGCAGAAGAGCCCAAAGAUGCAACAGAGGUGAAAGACCAGGCAGAGACCCAGGGGCAGGACAAGAAAAGGGGCCCCUGUAGCAAUGGGAAAGCAGCCUCCACCUCUAGGCCCCUGGAGACUCAGGGAAACCUCACUUCCUCCUGGUAUAAUCCCAGGCCCUUGGAGGGAAAUGUCCACCUCAAGAGCUUGACAGAAAAAAAGCAGACUGACAAGGCCCAGGUGCAUGCAGUGAGUUUCUACUCCAAGGGCCAUGGAGUCGCCAGUUCACACAGCCCUGCUGGAGGCUUCCCAAAAAGAAGGACGCCUCCAGCAGGGCAACAUGGAUAAAAACAUGAGGGUGGUUAAGUAGAACAUAAAAAUCCAGGAGAUGAAAACAGCCGCUUGGGAGGAAAAAGAAGACACGGCAGGGCAGGCGUGGUGGCUCACGCCUGUAAUCCAGCACUUUGGUAGGCCCAGGCGGGCGGAUCAGGACGUCAAGAGAUCAAGACCUGAGAAGCAUCUCCACCUGGUCCCCGCAUCAUCUGGGAAGUGAAGAGCGCCUCUGCCCAGCGGCCCCACCGUCUGGGAAGUGAGAAGCGCCUCUGCCCAGCCGCCCUAUCGUCUGGGAAGUGAGGAGCGCCUCUGCCCAGCCGCCCCACUGUCUGGGAAGUGAGGAGCGCCUCUGCCCAGC
rnacentral:antisense_RNA from 1 species